rnacentral:rRNA from 1 species
UACGGUGAAUACGUUCCCGGACCUUGUACACACCGCCCGUCAAGCCAUGGAAGCCGGGUGUACCUAAAGUCGGUAACCGCAAGGAGCCGCCUAGGGUAAAACUGGUGACUGGGACU